rnacentral:rRNA from 1 species
GACGAACGCUGGCGGCGUGCCUAAUACAUGCAAGUCGAACGGAAAGGCCCUGCUCUUGCGGGGUGCUCGAGUGGCGAACGGGUGAGUAACACGCGAGUAACCUGUCCUUGACUUUGGGAUAACACUAGGAAACUGGGGCUAAUAUCGGAUAGGAGCUCUUGCUGCACGGUGGGGGUUGGAAAGUUUCGGCGGUUGGGGAUGGACUGGCGGCUUAUCAGCUUGUUGGUGGGGUAGUGGCUUACCAAGGCUUUGACGGGUAGCCGGCCUGAGAGGGUGACCGGGCACAUUGGGACUAAGGUACGGCCCAGAAUCCUACGGGAGGCAGCGGUGGGGAGUAUUGCGGAGUAGGCGGGAGCCUGAUGCAGAGGCGCUGCGUGCGGAAUGACGGGCUUCGAGUGAUGAACCGAUGUGGCCUGAGACGAGGCGUGAGUGACGGUAAUGAGUAAGGAAGCACCGGCUAACUACGUG